UACGGAGGGUGCAAGCGUUGCUCGGAAUCACUGGGCGUAAAGCGUACGCAGGCGGUCUAUUAAGUCGGGUGUGAAAGCCCAGGGCUCAACCCUGGAACUGCAUUCGAAACUGGUAGACUUGAGUACGGGAGAGGAGAGCGGAAUUCCUGGUGUAGAGGUGAAAUUCGUAGAUAUCAGGAGGAACACCUGUGGCGAAAGCGGCUCUCUGGCCCGAUACUGACGCUCAUGUACGAAAGCGUGGGGAGCAAAC
rnacentral:rRNA from 1 species